GCCGCCGCCGUUGACCGUCCCGGUUCCGCUCAGCCGCCUCCCCGGCAAUAAGGCCUUUGAUUAACAAAAUCCCGGCCUGGUUAUGGAGGACGGGCAGGGGGAGCGGCGCCUUCCUGCUCUUCCAGGGGGAUCUGCCGAGCUCCAGGGCCGCCUGCGGAGUGGAAAAUGGCAGCUGCACAACAGCACACCGUGGCACUUCUGAGCAAAGGUGUCAGGGAUGCGCUGUGGUGCUCAGGGCAUUGAAUGUCAUCUCUUAAGACAACGCGUAACUUCAGUUCGUCCUUCCUCAGGCAUCAGGUGAAAGGGGAAGAAGGCCAUACAGCCCCCAAAGAUCUCUGUAGGUGAACUUAAGCAUUCUUCUGAAGUCCACCAAGUCCUGCGCCUUCUGGAGUUCAAGGGAAGGAAAAAGCUCAGGCAUCUGCUUCCUCAGUUCUAUAACCAACAGAUGAGCCUCACCUGGGUCAAGCAUCUAUGUAACACUUUGUUUUUAAACUGGCCUUUUUACCUGAUAUAAAACAUCGACAGUCUUACAUAGCCAGUAAGAUGUAAUACACAUUAUGGUUAAAAGUCCCAUGCAUUUUUUCAGAA